UAGGCCAGCCCCUCACUGCACCUCCCCCUCUGUCAAUCUCCUGAAUCUCAACACUCCAUUGGCCCAUGUGACCUGUUCUCUCUGCCCCCUUAUCCUCAUUGGUUCUUGCAGUGCCUUGUGCUCCUCCCCUGUUUAUCCCUGAUUGGUCAAACAUUUGUACCCGCCCCUGAAGCUCUGUGUAUAAAAUCCUGAGCACAGCAGCCCUGAGGGCUGUUUGGUCCCUGACUCCUUUCAGCAGUGAACCUCUCUCUGCUGGAACCUCACACUGAGAGCCUCCUGCUCCUCCUUCACCCACUCCUGGAGUGCAGCUGACAAUCCUGCCUGUCGAGCACGAGGCUCAAAGGUUCUGCCUUGGGUGCUGAUGCAGCCAAGUAUGACCGCCCCCAGGAAAGCUCUGGAUUCCUGGCCAGGCCGGCUCUGGGAUUCCUGGAGCUGUUUGAUAAGAACAAAAUCCCAUUUAACAAGUUACAGAGGAGGAGAGAAUCUACAUAGAGAAGAAUUUAACGAGAGACAGUAGAAAUCACUCUGCAAAACUGCCAAGGCAUUAGUGCCUGUGUGACCCAGAGGAGAAUUUGGCAGGCAGAAAAACCAUUUAUUUUGAUCAGAUGAAGACAACAUUUCUGCAGAGCAGGAGAGGGACAGGCUGGGACAGAAUGGAACUUGCCCUGCAAUGGCCCCAGGAUUCUGGAUUUGCAUAUUCUGUUUAGAUACUGAAAAAUAAAUGGUCUUGAAAUGAAAACUUCUGUUAACAGCCUCAUCUGUGGGACAGACCAGGAGACAUGGCCUUUGGGGUGAAUAAAAGACAAUGAGGGAUCAGGCUUUACUCUCUGCAAUCUUGUUUGAGGCUGUUUUAACACAUUUUGGAGAUGAAUUUCUAUUAUGGAGAGGGAAAAGAGGGAAGGAAAGGUGUUCUUCUACAAAGGAUCUGCAGGAAGCUGCCAAGGCAGAGAGGGAAUAACCGUGACUGAGUGGAACUCUUGAUCAAUCCUUUUAGUUCUCAAGUUCCAGAAGGCCCGAUAGAUUUUGUUUAUGUUUCUACUGCUGUGAUGUUUCUGUCAGCAAGAGAAAUCGGCUUCCUCUGUCUUCAUCUUCUAGGAAGUUUGGUAAUUUGCCUGCUGAGACUUUGAGUUUUCUUAAGAAAUACAAAUCUCAGUAUCCAGCAUCUCUGGGAACAAGGUGUUCAAUUAGGUUCUGUCUGGUGGAAACUUCAGGUGUCAGCCUAGAAAUUUCCAGGAUCACAUCCCAAUCCCACCAGGAAAUAUUAACAUGUUAUUUAAUUUUCUCACUGUUAUCAUUUACUGAUGUCAAGCUAAUGGAUAUAUUGUGAUUUUCUUAUUUAGUCCUGCAAAUACUUUCACUGUGGGGUUUGGUUUUCUUUUCAUGCUCCAAACACCAAGAUUUUCCUCUUGAUGUUGACAGGAGAGAUUGAGUUAUUUUCCUUCUGAAUGGAUUUUGUUGACAGGAUGGAUUUAGGCUGUUGACAAAACACACCCUGUGAGCGUGGUGGCCCAGAGCGCUGAUGGAAUGUGUGUUAUUGGCAGGACAGGUUGAGAUGGUGGUGACAAAAUGCAAACAGCCCAAUCCAUUCCAGUGAUAAAACACAUUUAUCUAACGAUCAAAUCCAUCCAGUAGACAAACCCGUUUUUGUUUGAAACUGAAAAGCAUCCUUCUGAGGGGAAGGAAUAAAUUCCUGCAGGGAAGCAGCUCAGCUUAUUGAGAAGCUGGACUAGAGCCUCCCUGGCUGUGGAAAAUAGAGAUGUGUGCCUCUGCAACAGAAUUAGAAAUGACAGAAGAAACUUUUUAAAUGGAAUUAGCCACAUUUUCACAGCAUGACACAACCCUGCACUCAAAUUUACACAAUUCAGGCUUUGCAAGUCCCCUAUAUCUCAAAGCACCCUAACUGAGCUUCAAAGGAGACCUAGAAAUUGUUUUUACUAUUGACCCUGCAAACGAAAAUUCAUCUCUCAAUUAAGAAAACCCCAUUUUUUAAUGAAGCUGAGCCACAGAAAAUCUCACUGCAAUGGAAAGAGUUUCCUUCAACCACAGCAGUACCCAAAGCAUCCAUCUCGUGCAUCACUGACCAUUCGGUUUGUGGCUGUGAAAUUCUGAGGCUGACAGGAGAUGAGGGCUCUGAGCACGAAGAAACAGGUGAUGACUUCAGAAAUGAAAAUAGCAUGGUAAGAACAUGCCAGUAAAAAUCAAGUAGAAGAAAGGCAGCUGAUGCUGGACAGUGAAUUGAAAGGCUGAGUUUUAAUUUUGGUGCCCGAUGGUUUUUGCUGUUGAAUUUUAAUUCCUUUAUAUUUCUUUGUUUAACUAGUAAAGGAAGCUUGGCUCUGGGUUUUACACAGCAAUUGCAUUUAUGCUGUGGUUACCUUUUUAAGCUGGUUCUGUAGUUACCACAGCAACGGUAAAAUGGCUUGGUUAUAAUAUGAAAAUUUUCCAUACAGAAACAAAUCUGAUAAAAUGUCAUGAACUGUCUGGAAGAAAUAUGUGUGUUCCAAUAAAAAUCAUUGUGUGUUUCUGGGGCUACUGUAGCAAUGCAUUAACAAUUCCAUGACUAAGGCCUCAUUGAUAUCUGCGCUCUAAAUCUGCCAGAGUUAGUCCUGGAACCAGCCUAAAAUGCUGCAGUGCCAGCUCUCAGCUAGGGAAUGAUUAAAAAAUGGCUCUGAAACCCAAACGGGGUCUAUUUAAUAAAAAAAGCAGUCAUGCCCUGUUUUAAUCUAAUUAGAUCUGCUUAUUGGUUAGGG